ACUCCCAUGAGUAGGGCAUCUCAGUGAAAUAUCCAUCAGCCAUCACACUAAACAAAAAUACACUCUGCUAAGACAGUCAAUGAGGGGGUCAACGUUAAAUUAAAACCUUUUUCAAUCUAGAAGAGUGUCCCAAGCACUCUGGUCAAAACUAACAGCAAUCUAACAUUCAUCCAAUCAGUUUACAUAAUAUAAUCAUAUUUUUAACACAAAGUGAUCUUUAUUUGACAUGAAUACAUGUAGAGAUGGUGUCACCACAGUGGUUCUACUUGACCUUUGAAACUAGAACUCACAUUCACCUGCCGCUCCUCUUCCUGGGUCCUCAUGGUCUCCACAGAGCCAGUAUAGUAGAAGGUCUUCUCCUGUCUCAUUCAGUCCUUGGUGCCACUCUAGCUGGAGGUGGAGCUUGACAGGCAGCACAUCAGAAACAAUCUGUCAACACAACAGCUUCUAGACUCUUGAUUGUUGCUGCUUGACAACAUCUGCUUGUUCCAGUAUUAGCUAUGCAGAUCUUCAUGUUAGUGGUUUUAUUCACUGGGUUUACUGGUGACAGUUAUCAGCAAACCAUCCACUCAAUCCAGGACAGUCCAGUCCAGGCUCUACAAGGAGACGGCGUGACUCUCUCCUGCAACUACUCUUCAGCAACAAACCUCUUCUGGUAUCGGCAGUACCCCAGCUCACCUCCCCAGUUCCUUAUCAAAGAAUACAUGGAGCUAUCUAGAUUUACCUUGAAAAAGGACAGUGAUAAAAAAAUGUUCCAUCUGGAGAUCUCCGCUGCUGCCGUGACAGACUCUGCUUUGUACUUCUGUGCUGUGGAGCCCACAGUGACAGGAAACACAGACUCCCUGUACAAAAACCUGACAAGGAACUUGAAGAGCAUUUGUCAUUACCUUAAACUGUGGUUCAGGGGAGGCGCAUCUGGAGAGGUGAAUUCACCAGGAGCCUAGUGAAUAAACAGUAUU